UAGAGUUUGAUCCUGGCUCAGGACGAACGCUGGCGGCGUGCCUAAUACAUGCAAGUCGAGCGGACUUUAAAAGCUUGCUUUUAAAGUUAGCGGCGGACGGGUGAGUAACACGUGGGCAACCUGCCUGUAAGACUGGGAUAACUUCGGGAAACCGGAGCUAAUACCGGAUAAUCCUUUUCCUCUCAUGAGGAAAAGCUGAAAGACGGUUUACGCUGUCACUUACAGAUGGGCCCGCGGCGCAUUAGCUAGUUGGUGAGGUAACGGCUCACCAAGGCGACGAUGCGUAGCCGACCUGAGAGGGUGAUCGGCCACACUGGGACUGAGACACGGCCCAGACUCCUACGGGAGGCAGCAGUAGGGAAUCUUCCGCAAUGGACGAAAGUCUGACGGAGCAACGCCGCGUGAGUGAUGAAGGUUUUCGGAUCGUAAAACUCUGUUGUUAGGGAAGAACAAGUACCAAGAGUAACUGCUUGUACCUGACG
rnacentral:rRNA from 2 species